UGCAGUCGAACGGCAGCACAGUAAGAGCUUGCUCUUAUGGGUGGCGAGUGGCGGACGGGUGAGGAAUACAUCGGAAUCUACCUUUUCGUGGGGGAUAACGUAGGGAAACUUACGCUAAUACCGCAUACGCCCUUUGGGGGAAAGCAGGGGAUCGCAAGACCUUGCGCGGAUAGAUGAGCCGAUGUCGGAUUAGCUAGUUGGUGAGGUAAUGGCCCACCAAGGCAACGAUCCGUAGCUGGUCUGAGAGGAUGAUCAGCCACACUGGAACUGAGACACGGUCCAGACUCCUACGGGAGGCAGCAGUGGGGAAUAUUGGACAAUGGGCGCAAGCCUGAUCCAGCCAUACCGCGUGGGUGAAGAAGGCCUUCGGGUUGUAAAGCCCUUUUGUUGGGAAAGAAAAGCGAUCGGUUAAUACCCGGUUGUUCUGACGGUACCCAAAGAAUAAGCACCGGCUAACUUCGUGCCAGCAGCCGCGGUAAUACGAAGGGUGCAAGCGUUACUCGGAAUUACUGGGCGUAAAGCGUGCGUAGGUGGUGGUUUAAGUCCGUUGUGAAAGCCCUGGGCUCAACCUGGGAAUUGCAGUGGAUACUGGGUCACUAGAGUGUGGUAGAGGAUAGUGGAAUUUCCGGUGU
rnacentral:rRNA from 1 species